GAUGAACGCUGGCGGCGUGCCUAAUACAUGCAAGUCGAGCGAACGGACGAGAAGCUUGCUUCUCUGAUGUUAGCGGCGGACGGGUGAGUAACACGUGGAUAACCUACCUAUAAGACUGGGAUAACUUCGGGAAACCGGAGCUAAUACCGGAUAAUAUUUUGAACCGCAUGGUUCAAAAGUGAAAGACGGUCUUGCUGUCACUUAUAGAUGGAUCCGCGCUGCAUUAGCUAGUUGGUAAGGUAACGGCUUACCAAGGCAACGAUGCAUAGCCGACCUGAGAGGGUGAUCGGCCACACUGGAACUGAGACACGGUCCAGACUCCUACGGGAGGCAGCAGUAGGGAAGCUUCCGCAAUGGGCGAAAGCAUGACGGAGCAACGCCGCGUGAGUGAUGAAGGUCUUAGGAUCGUAAAACUCUGUUAUUAGGGAAGAACAUAUGUGUAAGUAACUGUGCACAGCUUGACGGUACCUAAUCAGAAAGCCACGGCUAACUACGUG
rnacentral:rRNA from 1 species